rnacentral:lncRNA from 13 species
CCCAGCACUCACAGCCUGGGCUAGCUGCCUGAGAGUAGAGAGUGGCAGGUGAGGGCUCUGAACCUUACUGUGUGCUGCCCAAGGAGCACCUAGGGCUGCCAAGAGGCCCAGGGAGGAGCCUUGAGACCUGACUGGGAAAGGCUUUUCUCCCCGCAGAGGACCACUGCUCAGGCUCAGCGGCCAUGGGGCAGAGCCCAUACAAAAGUGGGCAUCCAGUCAUGCUCUAAGCCCCCUGAAGAAGAAGACCAGGGAGCAGCUUCCUCUGAUGAAGCAGCAGUGAUCAGGGGACAGGAGGCUGAAGCCGUGAGCCCAGCAGAGUCAGGAACAGCCAAGUCUGGGACAGGCUUCAAUUAUUUUAGGGACAUGUCCAACCUGUAAAACCCACCUGUUCUGUCACCCUCAGCUUCUGGUGUCUACUUUCUAGACUGAAGGCAAUACUGGAAAGGUCGGAUUCAAGGGCUUUCAGAUUGACCACCCAUGAAUAUGGGGCUGCGACCCCUAAGGAGGACCUCAGGUGUCUUUUCCCAAGCGAACGUUCUGGAUCUGCCCUUUCUGCGGCUCACCUCCCCAGCCGGUCUUUUGGCUUCAUCUUUGAUUGCUGGCUCUUGUGCUAUUGGAUCAGUGGGGACAUCUAUCUUCUGUCUUCAAACAUCAGAGUUUCUGGUUCCUGGGCCUUUGGACUUGGACUAG